AGCCCAUGUACACCCAUGACUUGACCUAAUCUCACCUAUCCUGGGCCCAGACCUAGCCCAUAAAGAGUUGGUCCCUUGAGGCCCACAUAACCUAGACCUCAAGAACCCGAAAGGCCCACAGCCUUUCAACCUAGGGCCCAACUAGCCCUAGAGCCUCCAUGAAGCCCUCAUGAAUGAUGGACCUUGGCCUUAGUCUUGGUCCCUUGGGCCUUGGGUACACCAC
rnacentral:lncRNA from 1 species